rnacentral:rRNA from 1 species
UACGGAGGGGGCUAGCGUUGUUCGGAAUUACUGGGCGUAAAGCGUACGUAGGCGGUGUCUCAAGUCAGAGGUGAAAGCCUGGAGCUCAACUCCAGAACUGCCUUUGAAACUAGGACGCUAGAAUUGCGGAGAGGUGAGUGGAAUUCCGAGUGUAGAGGUGAAAUUCGUAGAUAUUCGGAAGAACACCAGUGGCGAAGGCGGCUCACUGGACGCAUAUUGACGCUGAGGUACGAAAGCGUGGGGAGCAAACAGG